rnacentral:rRNA from 1 species
UGGGGAAUAUUGGACAAUGGGGGGAACCCUGAUCCAGCAAUGCCGCGUGUGUGAAGAAGGUCUUCGGAUUGUAAAGCACUUUAAGUUGGGAGGAAGGGCAGUUACCUAAUACGUGAUUGUUUUGACGUUACCGACAGAAUAAGCACCGGCUAACUCUGUGCCAGCAGCCGCGGUAAUACAGAGGGUGCAAGCGUUAAUCGGAAUUACUGGGCGUAAAGCGCGCGUAGGUGGUUAGUUAAGUUGGAUGUGAAAUCCCCGGGCUCAACCUGGGAACUGCAUUCAAAACUGACUGACUAGAGUAUGGUAGAGGGUGGUGGAAUUUCCUGUGUAGCGGUGAAAUGCGUAGAUAUAGGAAGGAACACCAGUGGCGAAGGCGACCACCUGGACUGAUACUGACACUGAGGUGCGAAAGCGUGGGGAGCAAACAGGAUUAGAUACCCAUGUAGUCCCUGAGCGGGCUGGCAAGGCGCAU